rnacentral:lncRNA from 1 species
UUGCUUAUUUUGGGGAAGAGAUUUGUAGAGAGAACUCCGAGAAAAUAGAGAGAAAGAGAGAGAGAGAUCCUUGAAAGGUCAAAAGAGGUCAGAUUAGAUUGUGAUUACCCGUUGAAUCAUCUCCUUCUCUCGUUGAAAAUUUUGGUCAAAAUAGUUAAGCUAAAGCCAAACCCUAAGCUCAAGGUUAAGGGGGAAUGGUCGGCGUGAUGAACAGAUUGAGGAAUCUGGACGCUUACCCUAAAAUCAAUGAAGAUUUCUACAGGCGUACACUCUCUGGUGGUGUUAUCACCCUCGUCUCUUCUCUCGUCAUGCUAGUUCUCUUCUUCUCCGAGCUUCGUAAGUUCAUUAGAUCCUAUACUCUGUUCUUUUCGUAGCUUUUGAUCCGGGGAAGCUUAAAGGUCGAUGAUUUGUAGAAUUGGAGCUCUAAAGUUUUGUUUUUUUACUUCUGGGGGGUUUAAUUCUUAUGUGAAACGAUGAUCUAGUUAAUUUAGAUAAUCAUCGUUGUUUAUGAGCAAGCAAACAGUGCUCGAUUUCAAUAGCAGUGUUCGUGUUUAAAUUUGUG